rnacentral:rRNA from 1 species
AUUGAACGCUGGCGGCAUGCCUUACACAUGCAAGUCGAACGGUAACAGGUCUUUCGGGAUGCUGACGAGUGGCGAACGGGUGAGUAAUACAUCGGAACGUGCCUAGUAGUGGGGGAUAACUACUCGAAAGAGUGGCUAAUACCGCAUGAGAUCUAUGGAUGAAAGCAGGGGACCUUCGGGCCUUGUGCUACUAGAGCGGCCGAUGGCAGAUUAGGUAGUUGGUGGGAUAAAAGCCUACCAAGCCUACGAUCUGUAACUGGUCUGAGAGGACGAGCAGCCACACUGGGACUGAGACACGGCCCAGACUCCUACGGGGGGCAGCAGUGGGGAAUUUUGGACAAUGGGCGCAAGCCUGAUCCAGCAAUGCCGCGUGCAGGAUGAAGGCCUUCGGGUUGUAAACUGCUUUUGUACGGAACGAAAAGUCUUGGGUUAAUACCCUGGGAUCAUGACGGUACCGUAAGAAUAAGCACCGGCUAACUACGUGCCAGCCGCCGCCGUAA